rnacentral:rRNA from 1 species
GUCUAGGGCCAUACCACCCUGAACGUGCCCGAUCUCGUCUGGUCUCCGAAGCUAAGCAGGGGCAGGCCUGGUUAGUACUUGGAUG